GACGAACGCUGGCGGCGUGCCUAAUACAUGCAAGUUGAGCGCUGAAGGUUGGUACUUGUACCCACUGGAUGAGCAGCGAACGGGUGAGUAACGCGUGGGGAAUCUGCCUUUGAGCGGGGGACAACAUUUGGAAACGAAUGCUAAUACCGCAUAAAAACUUUAAACACAAGUUUUAAGUUUGAAAGAUGCAAUUGCAUCACUCAAAGAUGAUCCCGCGUUGUAUUAGCUAGUUGGUGAGGUAAAGGCUCACCAAGGCGAUGAUACAUAGCCGACCUGAGAGGGUGAUCGGCCACAUUGGGACUGAGACACGGCCCAAACUCCUACGGGAGGCAGCAGUAGGGAAUCUUCGGCAAUGGACGAAAGGCUGACCGAGCAACGCCGCGUGAGUGAAGAAGGGUUUCGGAUCGUAAAACUCUGUUGGUAGAGAAGAACGUUGGUGAGAGUGGAAAGCUCAUCAAGUGACGGUAACUACCCAGAAAGGGACGGCUAACUACGUG
rnacentral:rRNA from 1 species